UCUACCGAGUAGUGGGGGAUAGCCAUUGGAAACGAUGAUUAAUACCGCAUAUAUCCUACGGGGGAAAGCAGGGGACCUUCGGGCCUUGCGCUAUUCGAUGAGCCUGAGUGAGAUUAGCUAGUUGGUGGGGUAAAGGCCUACCAAGGCGACGAUCUCUAGCUGGUCUGAGAGGAUGAUCAGCCACACUGGGACUGAGACACGGCCCAGACUCCUACGGGAGGCAGCAGUGGGGAAUAUUGCACAAUGGACGAAAGUCUGAUGCAGCCAUGCCGCGUGUGUGAAGAAGGCCUUCGGGUUGUAAAGCACUUUCAGCGAGGAGGAAAGGUCAGUAAGUAAUAUUUGCUGGCUGUGACGUUACUCGCAGAAGAAGCACCGGCUAAUUUAGUGCCAGCAGCCGCGGUAAUACUAAAGGUGCAAGCGUUAAUCGGAAUUACUGGGCGUAAAGCGCGCGUAGGUGGUUUGUUAAGUUGGAUGUGAAAGCCCAGGGCUCAACCUUGGAACUGCAUUCAAAACUGACUCACUAGAGUACGAGAGAGGUUAGUGGAAUUUCCUGUGUAGCGGUGAAAUGCGUAGAGAUGGGAAGGAAC
rnacentral:rRNA from 1 species